UUGUUUCCCUAGCAAACUAGUAACGUUAACACAUCAAGAAAUGAGAAUACAGCUGUCAUAUGUCAUAUGACUGUAUGUUUGUUAUGAUGUUGCUUAUUGUGUUGUGCAGCUGCCGUUUCUUUAAUUAGGACCGCUCACUUCCAGAACUCCGCUGGGCAACGCCCACUUGACUGGUGUGCCUCGCAAACACCUGAUUGCAUGGUACAGGUGCGGAUCAUUAUGUCUAUGAUUGAGAUCCUUUUUAACAUGAACACUGAACAGUCUGUGAAUGCUGGACAUCACGCAGGAUUGCUGGAGAGGACGGGGGGGGACGGGGGGGGGAGGGGCCGGGUCUGUGGCAGAGCUUUUGUGUUUCGUUGGCGUUUACUGGAUUACCGGACGUCUGUUGAACGAGAUCCGAAGUUGAUUGGUUCCCUACUGCGUUGGAGUGGAGGCCGGUGAGAUCCCCGUCUUCUACGUUCGUGGGUUGCCAGGAAAGAGCUGACCUGAGUCGUCCGUUUGACUGAGAGAAGCCUGAAUGAGUAUUGACUGAGAGCUAGAUUCGUCUGCUCUCUGUUCAAUGGUGAGUGUGCCUUGUCCACUAAUAAGCUGAGGAAUUACGGUUAGCACCAUACAAAGUAGAGCUUCACGGACUAUCACAAGUAGCUAUUUUCUUUGGGUUGAUUUACUUUUGGUUGAUAUUAUUAUCUUUUCGUGUGUUGGUUAUUUACUUUCUGUUUGCUGUGAGUGUGUAUUGCUACUUGUGGAGAUACUGGCGAUUUCUCUCACUCUGUGUGCGUGCGAGUGUGCGUGAUUGACAGACCAACGUGAGCAGCGGUGGUGGAUGCUGACGGACUUUGCUUGCGGACUUUUGGAUACGGCGGACUCUUGGACAUUGUAGACUGUGGUUCCUUCGGCAGUGGCCUACGGCCUGAUUCAUAUGGACUUGUGUUGUAUUUAUAUUUUAGUGCUUGUAAUAAAUUGUAUAUUUUUGUAUCAGAAA